CUUCGCCCCGUCCCGUCCGCGCAGCGCGUCCGGCCCGCCCGCAGGCCAGCUUCUCUCGGGAGCCCCCACCCAGGCGCAUGGCUCCAUGAAGCAAGAGGAGGAGGCAGAGCGCGAGAGGUCCCGUCCGCCCCAGCCGCGUCUGGGCCAGGAUAAAAGCAAAACCAUAUUCCUGCUGCUGUCAGUUAUGAUGCACUGAGAAAACUUCAGAGACCUAAACUUUUUCCAGAGAAGAGAAGCUUUACUGGUGUUCCAGCCCUAAGCAACCAUCUUUCCUGUGAAAAAUUCCCUCUCGUACUUUAGUUCUGUGGAUCCAAAAUUUAUAGCAUUCUUCUACCACCACAGGGGCUCAUAUGACAUUAACAGACAAGACACUUUUCAGAAAGACAG
rnacentral:lncRNA from 1 species